rnacentral:tRNA from 14 species
AGGCGCGUAGCUCAGUUGGUUAGAGCGCUACCUUGACACGGUAGAGGUCAGGAGUUCGAGUCUCCUCGUGCCUACCA